AGGGUUAUAAUUUAAUUAGAAUAUUUGAUUUGCAUUCAAAAAAUAUUGAAUUUA
rnacentral:tRNA from 1 species